UACGGAGGGUCCAAGCGUUAUCCGGAAUCAUUGGGUUUAAAGGGUCCGUAGGCGGGCGAUUAAGUCAGAGGUGAAAUCCCACAGCUCAACUGUGGAACUGCCUUUGAUACUGGUUGUCUUGAGUUACAGUGAAGUAGAUAGAAUAUGUAGUGUAGCGGUGAAAUGCAUAGAUAUUACAUAGAAUACCAAUUGCGAAGGCAGAUCACUAACAGUAUAUUGACGCUGAGGGACGAAAGCGUGGGGAGCGAACAGG
rnacentral:rRNA from 1 species